rnacentral:lncRNA from 1 species
ACUAUAAUUACACCAAUUUCCUUUAUUUUCAACACACUAGCAUAAAUACACAAAAACACCUCAUACAUAGAGAAAACUUUGAUAGCUCCAAAUUACUAAUAAGCAACAAUCUCCAUUGGAAUGUAACCAAAACAAACAUUGUCUAAAACAUUCAUUUACUGCAUAAAAACAUAACAGGCUCACAUGCCUGAAUAUAAUAAACGAAAAGCAUAAGUCAAAUGCUAUUAUAGUCGAUCUUGCAGCCUCUUUCUUCAUCUCCACAGUGUUUCCACUUCCUCAAAACUAC